rnacentral:tRNA from 1 species
ACCUGGGUGGCUCAGUCGGUUAAGCAUCUGACUUCGGCUCAGGUCAUGAUCUCACGGUUCGUGAGUUCGAACCCCACAUCAGGCU